rnacentral:rRNA from 1 species
AGCGAACGCUGGCGGCAGGCUUAACACAUGCAAGUCGAGCGGGCAUCCUUGUGGUGUCAGCGGCAGACGGGUGAGUAACGCGUGGGAACGUGCCCUUCGGUUCGGAAUAACUCAGGGAAACUUGAGCUAAUACCGGAUACGUGCGAGAGCAGAAAGGUUUAUCUGCCGAAGGAUCGGCCCGCGUCUGAUUAGCUAGUUGGUGAGGUUAUGGCUCACCAAGGCGACGAUCAGUAGCUGGUCUGAGAGGAUGAUCAGCCACACUGGGACUGAGACACGGCCCAGACUCCUACGGGAGGCAGCAGUGGGGAAUAUUGGACAAUGGGGGCAACCCUGAUCCAGCCAGGCCGCGUGAGUGAUGACGGCCUUAGGGUUGUAAAGCUCUUUUCUUUGGGACGAUAAUGACGGUACCGGAGGAAUAAGCCCCGGCUAACUUCGU